GUAGGUGGCAAGCGUUGUCCGGAAUUAUUGGGCGUAAAGCGCGCGCAGGCGGUUCUUUAAGUCUGAUGUGAAAGCCCACGGGCUCAACCGUUGAGGGUCAUUGGAAACUGGAGAACUUGAGUACAGAAGAGGAAAGCGGAAUUCCACGUGUAGCGGUGAAAUGCGUAGAGAUGUGGAGGAACACCAGUGGCGAAGGCGGCUUUCUGGUCUGUAACUGACGCUGAGGCGCGAAAGCGUGGGGAGCAAACAGGAUUAGAUACCCUGGUAGUCCACGCCGUAAACGAUGAGUGCUAAGUGUUAGGGGGUUUCCGCCCCUUAGUGCUGCAGCUAACGCAUUAAGCACUCCGCCUGGGGAGUACGGCCGCAAGGCUG
rnacentral:rRNA from 1 species